CAAGACCUGCGCUUUUGGAGCGGCCGAUGCCUGAUUAGCUUGUUGGUAAGGUAAAAGCUUACCAAGGCUUCGAUCAGUAGCUGGUCUGAGAGGACGACCAGCCACACUGGGACUGAGACACGGCCCAGACUCCUACGGGAGGCAGCAGUGGGGAAUUUUGGACAAUGGGGGCAACCCUGAUCCAGCCAUGCCGCGUGAGUGAAGAAGGCCUUCGGGUUGUAAAGCUCUUUCAGCCGGAACGAAACGGUUACGGUUAAUACCCGUGACUACUGACGGUACCGGAAGAAGAAGCACCGGCUAACUACGUGCCAGCAGCCGCGGUAAUACGUAGGGUGCAAGCGUUAAUCGGAAUUACUGGGCGUAAAGCGUGCGCAGGUGGUUUUGUAAGUCAGAUGUGAAAUCCCCGGGCUUAACCUGGGAACU
rnacentral:rRNA from 1 species